GAUGAACGCUGGCGGCGUGCCUAACACAUGCAAGUCGAACGGAGAUUACGGACGGAAGUUUUCGGAUGGAAGCCUGUAAUUCUUAGUGGCGGACGGGUGAGUAACGCGUGGGCAACCUGCCCUAUACAGGGGGAUAGCAGCUGGAAACGGCUGGUAAGACCGCAUAAGUCGGUUAAAUCGCAUGAUUUGAUCGGGAAAUGAGCAAUCAGGUAUAGGAUGGGCCCGCGUCCGAUUAGCCAGUUGGCAGGGUAAAAGCCUACCAAAGCGACGAUCGGUAGCCGGACUGAGAGGUCGGACGGCCACAUUGGGACUGAGACACGGCCCAAACUCCUACGAGAGGCAGCAGUGGGGGAUAUUGCACAAUGGAGGAAACUCUGAUGCAGCGACGCCGCGUGAGUGAAGAAGUAUUUCGGUAUGUAAGGCUCUAUCAGCAGGGAAGAUGAUGACGGUACCUGACUAAGAAGCCCCGGCUAACUACGUG
rnacentral:rRNA from 1 species